rnacentral:rRNA from 1 species
AAUUCGAUGCAACGCGAAGAACCUUACCUGGGUUUGACAUGCACAGGACGCCGGCAGAGAUGUCGGUUCCCUUGUGGCCUGUGUGCAGGUGGUGCAUGGCUGUCGUCAGCUCGUGUCGUGAGAUGUUGGGUUAAGUCCCGCAACGAGCGCAACCCUUGUCCUAUGUUGCCAGCGGGUUAUGCCGGGGACUCGUAGGAGACUGCCGGGGUCAACUCGGAGGAAGGUGGGGAUGACGUCAAGUCAUCAUGCCCCUUAUGUCCAGGGCUUCACACAUGCUACAAUGGCCGGUACAAAGGGCUGCGAUGCCGUGAGGUGGAGCGAAUCCUUUCAAAGCCGGUCUCAGUUCGGAUCGGGGUCUGCAACUCGACCCCGUGAAGUCGGAGUCGCUAGUAAUCGCAGAUCAGCAACGCUGCGGUGAAUACGUUCCCGGGCCUUGUACACACCGCCCGUCACGUCAUGAAAGUCGGUAACACCCGAAGCCGGUGGCCUAACCCUUGUGGAGGGAGCCGUCGAAGGUGGGAUCGGCGAUUGG